GUGGGAAUAUGCACAAUGGACGAAAGUCUGAUGGAGCAACGCCGCGUGAGUGAAGAAGGGUUUCGGCUCGUAAAACUCUGUUGUUAAAGAAGAACAUAUCUGAGAGUAACUGUUCAGGUAUUGACGGUAUUUAACCAGAAAGCCACGGCUAACUACGUGCCAGCAGCCGCGGUAAUACGUAGGUGGCAAGCGUUGUCCGGAUUUAUUGGGCGUAAAGCGAGCGCAGGCGGUUUUUUAAGUCUGAUGUGAAAGCCUUCGGCUCAACCGAAGAAGUGCAUCGGAAACUGGGAAACUUGAGUGCAGAAGAGGACAGUGGAACUCCAUGUGUAGCGGUGAAAUGCGUAGAUAUAUGGAAGAACACCAGUGGCGAAGGCGGCUGUCUGGUCUGUAACUGACGCUGAGGCUCGAAAGUAUGGGUAGCAAACAGGAUUAGAUACCCUGGUAG
rnacentral:rRNA from 1 species